rnacentral:rRNA from 1 species
GUGUCAGCCGCCGCGGUAAUACGUAGGGGGCAAGCGUUGCUCGGAAUUACUGGGCGUAAAGGGAGUGCAGGCGGCCGGUUAAGUCAAAGAUGAAAUCCCGAGGCUCAACUUCGGAAUGGUCUUUGAUACUGAUCGGCUUGAGGCUGGUUGAGGAGAGCGGAAUUCCCGGUGGAGCGGUGAAAUGCGUAGAUAUCGGGAGGAACACCAGAGGCGAAGGCGGUUCUCUAAACUAGUCCUGACGCUGAGACUCGAAAGCUAGGGGAGCAAACGGGAUUAGAAACCCGCGUAGUCC